AUUUGUGGCAAACCCACCCUUCUCUGUCUGGAUAACAUCAGCUUAGGGAGACGUUUCAGAGCUGAAUCCUUUUACCGCUGACAAAACACAACAACAUUUGUGAAUUACAUUACAACUAGAGGGCUUUGCACAGCAAGGAUACAUUAGAGAAAUAUGAUCACAUAAUAAUUUUCAGUGGUGCACUGAUUGCACAAAGGCUCUGCCUAUGGCAACAUUUAGCCAAAUCAUUCUUUACCUGUACUUCUUCUACUUUAAUGUGACUUCAUAAUUAUGAGUUACAGAACAUUGGACUUAAGUUUAAUAAAUAUGUAGGAUGUUCAUUGGAUAAAUAUAUAUAUUUUUAAAACCUGUUAUAUAUUGUAAGUGAGAGAGAGGGGGAGAGGGAGAGAGGGGGAGAUAGAGAGCGUGUGAGAGAGGGAAAUAAGAGAGCAAGAGCAAGAGCGACAGAGAGAGAGAGAGAGACAGAGAGAGAGAGAGAGACAGAGUACUGUAAGUCUGGCUGUGAUUACAAAGCAUUUACCUGACUGGAGCUUUCAAAUGUUACUUGAUUGAACAGUACAAUGCUUUUGGCAGAAACCAGAGAUCAUAACAACUCUUCUGAGUAAAACAAAAUAUGUAUAUUUCGCCUCCAGGUUUAUCCAAUUAUUUUAAACCUAUGAUCUCAGUUAUUCACUCAUCUACCAGAAGAAGCAGUUUCUAUGCAGUUGCUCUAUGAAGACAAUUACAGUGAUAUGAUAUUUCUGUCAAAAUGCUGGGAAUUCUACUGAAGUAGAAGCAUGGACAUUCAAGGAGACAUUAAAGAUAUUGGCAUUUAUCAUUGCUUCUACAAACUACGCUGAUGACAAAUUUCAAGAGGGUUAGAAUGCAAGAAGAAUUGUGAAAAUAUAUUCAAUAAAAUAUUAAAAUAAUAUUGAUUGUGAUAUAUUGAAUUAUUUAAAAAAUGUUGUCUAGAAAUGUAUACGGGGGGAGUUGACGCUUGAUAAAUAUGCGAAGAGAGUUUGAAAUUAGUUGUAUCUCUCUGGCGUAAUUGUGUUUAUCAACUUGCCUAAAACAGGAGACCAUGUUUGAAUAAUUUGUUUUCUGUAUUCAAUGCCAGCAAUGUAAGUCAGCAGUCACAAUGACCAGAUUCUGCCAACAUCAAUAAUUAGAAAUCAGGGUUUAUGCAGAACUACGUUCUGAAUUUUCUUAUUUUUUCUAAUUGUGACUAAAUCUUUGAAUGAACCCUAAAUAUAAAAACCUCUUUGCAUGAACAAUGAAGAGACAGAGUAUAGAAAGGAGCUAAAGAAUAUAGCCAUGAGUCAAGAGUAAGUUAUUGUCAAUAGACAAUAGACAUUAGACAAUAGGUUCAGGAGUUGGCCAUUUAGCCCUUCGGGCCAGCACAGCCAUUUAAUGUGAUCAUGGCUGAUCAUCCCCAAUCAGUACCCCGUUCCUUCCUUCUCCCCAUAUCCCCUGACUCUGCUAUAUUUAAGAGCCCUAUCUAGCUCUCUCUUGAAAGUAUCCAGAGAACCUGCCUCCACUGCCCUCUGAGGCAGAGAAUUCCACACUCAUAUAGUCUGAAACAGAACAAAUAAAUCUUACUUGUAACAACACAUAUGUCAGUAGUCUAAAGAAGGGUCCCGACCCAAAACAUCACCCAUUCUUUUUCUCCAGAGAUGCUACUUGACCCGUUGAGUUAUUCCAGCUCUUUAUGUCUAUCUUCAGUAUAAACCAGCAUCUGCAGUUCCUUUCCACACAUACAUGUUAGUAACAUGAUGUCAGGACAAAACCUCUUCCACAAUGUCAGCAAGACAAAGGAGCUAGUUAACGACUUCAGGAAACAUGGCAAGUACAUGCUCCAAUCAUCAUCAAUUGUGCCAAAGUGGAAAUGGUUGAGAGUUUCAUGUUCCUUGGCGUUAAUAUUACCAAUAAUCUGUUUUAGACCAACGUAACAACAUUUAAAAUACAUUUGGAUAGGUACAUGGAGAGGAAAGGUUUACAGGUAUCUGGUUGAAACAUGGACAGGUGGGACUAGUGCAGUUGGGCUGAAGGCCUGUCCUUCUGCUGUAUGACUCUGUGCCUCUAUAGCUCUAACUCUAUUGAUGCAACAGCCAAGAAGACACACCAAUGCUUCUACUUCCUGUGGAGACUGAGAACAUUUGGUAUGUCUCCAAUGACUCGAACAAACUUCUACAGAUGCUCCAUAGAAAUAAUCCUGCCUGGUUUUGAAAUAGCUCUGAUCAUAAGAAAUUGCAGUGAGUUGUAGAUGUAGCCCGGUCCAUCACAUGGACCAGACUUCCCGCCAUUGACUCCAUCUACACUUCAUGCUGCCUCAGUAAAGCGACCUUUCCCUAAUCAAAGACCUAAUCAUAAAACUUGAGUUUGACGUUUAUAUUCAUGUAUAAUAUUAUAGAUCUGAU